rnacentral:tRNA from 1 species
GGGGCCUUAGCUCAGCUGGGAGAGCGCCUGCCUUGCACGCAGGAGGUCAGCGGGCACGCAGGAGGUCAGCGGUUCGAUCCCGCUAGGCUCCA